CAUGGCAAUGCCAAAUGGUAUGCUGACCUAAACAUGCCUAUCUAUUCUGGAUACUCUCCUGGAGAUUUUCAUUUAACACAUUUCACAUUAGAGCUGAGGUAGGAAUGAAAAAUUCUUUGGCACAAGUCAGGGACACAGAUGAGUGCAUUUCUCACUUUUUUGGUCCUUAGCAUGGUAAUAUUUUAUUUCAUGUUAAAGACACCCAGAUGAGACAUGACAACAGCGACAAGCAGCAAUGUGAGCCCAGCAGUACAAAGAUUUCCCCUCGCCUCCGCCAAGCAGAACCCUUUGGGCUUGUUCUGAAGUGUGACUCUGUUACACGCAGAGGUUAGCAAUAGCUUUCCUCCUGUUUUUAUGUUUGUUAUUUUUCUAACCUCUUCGAUCUCACUUUGCUGAAACAGAGGAAAUGAGGUAAAUUGGUCCUAACGGCGGCCAGGAAUUGCUGUCCUACCACUGAUGUGGGGUUUAAAGGUGCUGUGGGAGUGGAACAGUAAAUCUCCGGAGCACAAAUUUCUUGCGAUAACACUAAAUCUACCCAGUAUUUAUUGCUAAGAUACAAAGUGUUAUGGCAACAUGAAGAAAAACAUGUUAUAAGGUUUUCCUUUAAGGCAUAAAGAACCACAAAGCUCUGCAUGCUGCUGCCUCCAGUUCAGCACAGACAUGGUGAUGUUUCAGUAACACAACUACACGCUCACAUGCUCUUCUUCGUUCCUUUGAGAAUGCACACAUGACAUCAGGCUUUGGUUUUCAGUACUCAUCAAGUGGAGAUAUAAGCCUGUGAUAGGGACUGGGAUACUCUGCAGAUUUACAUCAUGCAGUUCCUUGGCUCUGCAUUACAUCUUUGUUUCAAACAGAAGCCUGGGAGCACCACACUGUAUGGCUGUGGUGAUGGCAGGGUACAACGGAGCAUGGAAGUGUAGCUAGAAAGCUUUUCCAUAAGUUAACAAGAACUAAAGCCAAUGAAAAAUGGCAAACGUUUUACGUAAAUAUGAGGAUGGGACUAGUAUUGCACAGGCUAGUAUUUCCAAAACCAUAACCUAUUAGAAACAAUUACUAAGUACGUAGACACAAAUGCAUAUACAAACACACAGACACGAAUAAUCCCAUGCUUAUACAGAGUAUUUCAACUUAAGAUCAGUGUGCUUCUACGCAAUUUGCAAGUGUUGUCUUGCCUCCACUAUGGGUGCGUAAACCAAUCCUUUCAGUCUUUGCCAUUAUCCUAUUUUUGAUAAAUAUUUCUAUUGUGUAUCUUAAGUGUAAGUAUUAAUUUACAUGAGAAACAGAUGUCUCCCCUUUGCAAACGUCACUGUGGGGAGAGAAGGACUUUCACAGUAACUGCUUUUAAGAUAUUUUUCAUGACUUUAACUUCACUGUUGUAAAGUAGUUGUUUCUGUAGAAGGUAAUUUCUAUAAUUCCAUUGGAUUCAUAUUAAUUCACUGUGCCAUUCCUAAAACCAUAAAGAUUAUUUUGUUGAGCAAAUCUCAUCCCUGUGUCCAUUCCUAAGCAUAACAAUAUAUUUCAGCAGUGCUUCCACUCCUUUAGAUGUUUUUAAUACUGGAUAAGGAGAUUUGCAGGAUGUAAGCUUUACAGCCUGUGAAGUUCUCACAUCUCCAGGUGGAAUUGCUUAACAGUUAGCAAAAAAAAAAAAAAAAAAAAAAGAAAGAAAGAAAGAAAAAAAAGAAAACUUUAAAAGAGAGAGAAGGGAAGAAUUGUGGUGAAGUUGUUGCUCCACAGAAGGGAAAUCAGUAAAACUCCAAGAAGUGUGAGACAGGUGAAGUGCUUUUUACUGGCUAAACUCAAUGGAAUGAAUGCUUUGAGUUUCAGUGAUGCCUAAAGGCUGUACUGAGUUACUGUGUGUAAGAAACAGAGUCCCUGCCCCCUUGCAGUGUUGGGCUCUCUUUGGGAGAAUGAUGAGGAGCAUUCAUAAAUAAUAACAUGAAGCUAGGCACAUGUGCAAAGAUAAAUAACACAUACAGACAGACAGGGCAGAGAAUAGCUCAUACCAGAAAUAGGCAUAGCACCCAUGGGAUUGGGGAAAUGUCAUGUGGAAUCCUUGAUCUCAGCUUAUAAAUAAGCCAGGUUCAAGAAACAGGUAGAUCCAAACUGAGAUUCUCCAGCUGGAUCUGUUAGUUCAGUGCAUGCCUAUACUCACACCGUAGCAUUUGGGUGCCAACUAUGGACAUACUAAAUCUUAGAGAGAGAAGAGGGCCUGUGAGUGGAGAGCUCACUUUCUGAUUUACCAAAGCGCAUCCCCCAAAGACCUGAUGUGAUCAGAUCCCACAGGAGGCCUCAGGCCCAUUGUUGGAAGCCUUCACCCAAGCACAGCAGCACAGACCAAGUACCUGGAGGACUGAGAGCAGCCUCUGCUGCCCCUUCAGGCUACCAGCUUUUUUCAAAGCCCAACACCUUCCCCAAACUCACUGCCUCCAGCACAGCUCCCACUGGCCAUGGCCUGGCGCACCCCCAGACCCGUCCUUACCUCCCAGCACAUAGAUGGGAGUUUGCAGGGAGGGCAGCAUGAUGCCAAACCACAGGGUGGGGCAAGGAUAACAUCUGCACCACUGCUGCAGUGCUCAACAGCAUCACUGAGUAACGGCUGUUGUAUUGCACCUUUGGGUUAUCAACACAGCACCCAUUGGGAGGGCACAAAUGCUGCACAGCACUGGGCUGGUGCUCAGUCUUUCUUGUGCUUUAAAGAAACUGAAUCAAAAUCCAAGAGUAAAAACUCAGCUUCUGCUCUUAUAAACUGCCAGCUUCUGAAAUUUCACAGGCAAACAGUAUUAAAAUAAAUAAAACCGAAAUUGUACGGUUUCUAAGAGCCCAUACCAUUGUUAAUGUCAGUACCAGAGAGCGUUUGCCUUUUGCAGAGUUAUAGGAAGGUUUGGUUUGGCUGAACUCUCAUUGUCUGGUCAUUUCUCGCUUCCCUAGCAAGAAUAUAAAUGGUUUCUAUUUAGAGGAGAUUACAGGUAGCCAUAAAUUAUCACCUAGUGUGGGCUGCUCGCUGGCCCAAGCACCUUGCCAGCGCCUCACAUCACCAGGAGCCAAUGCCUUGCUGGUACAACGUGCCAAGUCUUGGUCCACGUAAACUCAGUUUCUGACAUGUGUUAUGUUGAUCACAGGGAAGAAAUGGAGAGACCUAGCUAGGGAAGAAUGAAGCAUUUUUUCCCCCUCUAUCAUAGGUACUUUUCACAUGACUGCAUUCCUGCAUGACCACAUCAUCUUUUUAAAAAAUAUCUUAGCUUCCUUGCUGCCCGUCCCCAAAUAUCAGCUAUGACCAGGCAGCUGAGAUUGUCUGUGUUAUCAGCCUCCAGAACUGGGACAUGUAGAACAAGCUUAAUUAUCACCUGCACGUUAUUGUUAAUUGUGGGGCUUUGCCUUCCAGGCUCACGGAGAUAUUGAUUACCACAUUUACAUUUCUGACUCAAAGAAGUGAGCUGACGCAAAAUGCUAUCAUGGGCAGAGGUGCACACAAGGUUCUUCCAAAGCAUACACUCACCUAAUGCUCUUGGUAUAAACCUAUUUAAAUGCAGUGCAUGUGAUAUACAUGAAUACACCGAUCUUCUGCAGUGAAUUAAGGGAACUACUUCAAAAGCACAGCCUAAUUAAGCAUCUUAACCCUCCUGAGUGAAUAUAAAAUCAUCCUUGUUUUGCUGUCAAGUGCUACAAAGUUAAUUAAAUGGCAAGAGUCAGACAGUGACUUAAAACACGGUGAAGAAAAGAGGUCCAAAGACUGAGUUCCGGUCCCAGCUGAUAGGAAGUUCUCCCCUAAGCCAUACAAAUCAGAGGAUCCUGCAGACCUCAUUUUGUAAUGGAGAGAUGAUUGAACUGCAAGAUGUCGUUUUGCUAUAGGAAGCAUCAAACAGUUUGGGUAUUAAAAAACAGUACCAAGGAUCAAAGAACACUUUGUAUUCCAAACCUCAAUAACUCAGAAAAUCAAUUAAAACAAAACAAAACAAAACAAAAAAAAAAGUGACCAAAGCUCCAAGAACCUGAUCAGAGGUAAUGCAAUAAUGGAUGUACUUGGAUGUGCUUGCUGCUUCUGAAGGGUUCUGCCCUUUUGCUCCCUUUACCAGGUACCAAAACAAUCAGAAAGAAGUAAAUGGCUAUUACUAGAUGUGAAACUGAUGUUUGAAAUAAAUACUGAGCUGGAGGGCAGUCACUGAAACGAUCCUGUCAGAAGACCCACUGAGAAACACAGAAAUGAGUGGUCGUUGUAUUAGUGACAUCAUUUCUUUUGCAAGUCACAGUACAAACCAAGAGUUUGGUGUGGGCUAAAGAAACACUGCUGCUCCAGUUGCUGUGUACAGCACCACUCCUCAGAGGAAGCAUGUAGAUUCCAUUUAUUGUACAAUCCCCAUUCAACUGAGCUAAUUAAGUCAAUUAUGUUAAAAAAACAGGCGAGACUUGAGGCUGAGGAACAGUGGGACCUACACACAGACCCACUUCUGCAGCAACAGCUCCUGAGCUGCUCAGUGCCCGCCAGCCCCCCACCUCGCAGCAGCACAGCCGCCUGUUCACAGCCGCUAUCACGGGGCACCUCGUGGCCUGCAGCACCGCUCAUCCAGCGGGGACACGCACAGCACAGGGACAGGAGGAGCUCGCUGCAAAGGACAUUUUCAAGCUACAAUGACUCAAAAGUACUUUCAGGAAUGUUGGGAACUGAAGAAAAGUCCAUAUGCUCUAUUUUUUCCAAGUGCAUGCACACGCCAGAGCAGAGCAGUGUAUCUCAGCAUAAAGCCCUGCACACAAAAAGGAUACAGCAGCCAAAUUCCGCCCUCUACCACAGUGUUAAUAAUAGUUAUUAUUACUGAGCUCCCUUCACUAUCCUGGGUGGUUCUCAGAAAACAAUGGCACAGUCUCUGCCUUGAAAUGGUAAUGUUCCACAGAGACAUGAUACAACAGGAGCGAAAUGGAAGAGGUGGGUGGGGAGGGAGCAGGAGGACAACCGUGGCAGCAAUGGGAUCACUCGUUCCAUCCCGUGACUAUCUUGAUGCUCCCACUGAGUGAUUUAAUUAACGACUUAGAUGAGGGCAUAGAGCAGCAAGGCGUGGCAGAGCGCUUCGUAGCAAUAGCCGGGAAGGCAGACAGACGGGUGAAAGGAAAGCCAACAGUUCCCGAAGGCUGGAACUGAGGAAAUGCGGAUGGAUUUUGCUUUAUGACACAACCUGUGGUUGAGACACUACAGUGCCUCACUCACACAUGGGUUUUGGGUGUCUGGCAAAGUGAGAGCACGCCAGAGCCCAGGCAUCAGUGGUGCCUCCCUCAUUGGUGCGGCUCCUUUGUAUUGUGAAACCUGCAGUUAAAGACAGCGAGCCUUGAGCCUGUCCCACCUUCCUACUGCCUCCAGCAUCACUUGGCUCAAAGCAUCACGUAAGAAUGGAGCGCAUACAAAUGAAAACACAGCGGUCCUUACUAUAGAUCAUCUUUCUGUUCCAUAUAAUGUGUGCUAACUUCUACCUACAAGCUCAUGGGACAGCUGAAGAAGACAGCAAGCUUUACGCAGAGGAAGGUAAAUGAGGUCUUGUUUCCCUUGAAAAGAUAUUUUGAUUUAAAAAGGAAAAUCUAUCAAGUUUUCACGGGGAAACACAAAUUCUAAAACAAAUAAAAAUUGUCUAUGAAACCCCUUGUUUGGGCUGAAAAGGCACUUCUUUAUCUGCGGAGGUUUUCCUGCCUUGGUCGUUGUUCAUGACCGUCACCUGCCGCCCUCCAGCGAAGAAAAGCUCAUGUUUCACCCUCCUGAGCAGCAUUGCCCACGUGAGUAGGGAACAGCUCGUGCUCCCCCAGAGUGACACUGCCCUCACUGCCCUCCUGCAACCAGAGCUCACCUGGCAGAGCCCACCAGGGCCAGGCUGAGCCCAACAAACAAGCACUGCGCCCAGCAGCCCCACGUGCCCCCGCCCCGACCUCGCACACCACGUUUCACUGAAUAAGCAAAGUGAUGUCAGGAACCAGGAAGCUUUUUUCUGGCUCGGCUUGUUUGUUGGCCUUGUGUACUCCCCAGGUGCAGAGGUGAGCAUGAGGUAAUCAUACCUAGUGAAUGUGAGGCUUAGGCUAUAGGAAACCAGCAGAAUUUAUGUAAUUUUGGCAUGCAGCAGCUUUCUUCUCUGUAAACCUAGCAGUGAGCAGCAGACUAGACUGCAGAACAGAGUGUGCACUAUAUUAUGCCCAGAUCUUCCUCACUGCACCAGAGCCUCAAUCAGGGCAAUGGGCUCUGAGCUCAGGCACCCACCAUCAGGUCCCCACACUGCUCAGGUACUCCCAUCCCCCUGGGGCUCCCUGGUCUACAGAGGAAAAAGGGAUGGAACUGAAACUCGGUUUAUUUGCUGCCAGACUCUCAGCUCUGUCUUUGGAGUACAUUUCCCAAAGGAUGCUUUGAAGAGAAUAAAAAAAGGAUGGUUAGAGAUAAGAAGAAUUAUUUAAGCGAUUAGCACAGGCUCAAGGGAGAGGAGGAGAGAGGGAAUGACCGAUCUCUUCUUUAUUAUGUGGCUUCUAAUUUGCCUGAGUGAUCGAAGGCUUUUGAGACAGGAGCAAAAUUAACAAUAAAUCCCCAAGCUAGGCACAGCUCAUCUGCAAGUGACAAUGCUCCUGAGACAGAAGGACUCCCUUCUCCACGGCAUUUGGUUUUGCAAACCCAGCUGGUAAUACCCUGCAUGGCUCCCAUCAAGCUUGGAAGUUAGCUCUGAGCAGAUGGUUCAUCCGGAUGCCUACAGAUCUUUCCAAACCCAUUUUUUCUAUGAGUCUGCAAGCACUGAGCCUUUCAGACGUGGUGUUAAGGCCACGGCUGCUCCUUGAAGCUGCUUUAAUUUACGCUUUCAUUUAUUGCGGUGGAAGCGUUCCUGACUUCUGCUGAACCGCUUCCCGUUUUGACUUAUGCUCACGUGCAGAGGACAGAAUUUCCUCAGGGCUGGCCCCAAAUCACAGACCUGCCAGAGAAGAAGACGACCUUGGAUCUGAUUUCUGUGUGAAAUUCAUCACCGAGAAACACUUCUCCAUGGUCAUUUCUUUACAGAGUCAGGCAGACAGAGAAGAGCCCAGUCCUUCUGAGGC
rnacentral:lncRNA from 1 species